UUCCUAAACAAGUAUGUAUACAAGAUAAAGCAAAUUAAGGCUUCUACUGUGUUAGGCUGACGACGGUGAUGUUAUCGACUGCAUCAACAUUUAUCAACAGCCGGCCUUCAACAAUCCUCGCCUUAAAAACCACACAAUAUCGACAAUCAAGACACGACCCGGCAAAUUGCCUUUCUCCAAAAGAGCGAAAACAGCUCGACAAGCAUGGCAAAACAAUGGGAGAUGUCCCGAUGGAACUAUAGCAAUUAGAAGGGCCACACAACAAUCUCAGCUUGAGGUUGAUGCCACACAACCAAAUGGUUGCUACAUCGAGUAUGCAGGAAUCCAAGCACCUCAAACUGUAUAUGGCGCUAGAGGGGACGUAAACGUGUGGGGCAUACGAGUAGAGCCCAACGAGUGGAGCACGAAUGGCAUCGUAAUAACCAAUGGACGUGGUGCCUCGUUGCAGUUUGGGUGGAUGGUACGCAACUUUAUUAACCUUUUGUACAAUUAAUUAAUUAAUUUAGUUGCAUCACCAAUUAAUUUUAAUAACAGACUGUACUAGCUCAAUUAAUUAAAAAGAAAAACUAACA